UACGUAGGGGGCGAGCGUUGUCCGGAUUCAUUGGGCGUAAAGCGCGCGCAGGCGGUUGCGAGAGCCCGGCGUGAAAGCCCCCAGCUCAACUGGGGGAGGCCGUCGGAGACCUCGUGACUUGAGGCCGGUAGGGGAGAGCGGAAUUCCCGGUGUAGUGGUGAAAUGCGUAGAUAUAGGAAGGAACACCAGUGGCGAAGGCGACCACCUGGACUGAUACUGACACUGAGGUGCGAAAGCGUGGGGAGCAAACAGG
rnacentral:rRNA from 1 species